rnacentral:rRNA from 1 species
AUGGUGAAGGAAUGGACAUUGCCGGACCGACUAAGCAUUGUACAUGUUGGUCGUGAUGGGUUCCUUCAUCUCCUAUCGAAAAUGCAUGAAGAGGAGAGAGCUAGGAUCAUGAUGCUAUUCUGGCAAAUCUGUGAUGCUUUAGUGAAAGGAAAAAUGCCAGCUGCAUGUUUUCAGAUUCCCGAUCAGGACAUAUACAAAGUUGAUGAAGUGCAGGGCUCUUGGUCCGCUCCAGCGGUGGGCAGAGUCAAACUCAACACGGAUGCUUCGGUCCUGGGCUCUACUGCGGGAGCCGGAAUGAUCCUAAGGAAUCAGGAAGGAGAAAUUGUUUUCACUGCUUGCAGAUUUCUCUAUGCAUGUGAUGAUGUACUGGAGGCAGAGUUACUUGCAAUAAGGGAGGGAAUUUCUUUGGCCCUUCAGUGGAGCAUCUUACCAAUAGACGUGGAGUCUGAUUGUUUAGAGGCUGUCAAUAUGAUUAAGAGAGGGAAUAGCAACAAAUCUAAAUAUGCUUUCAUCAUCAGAGAGAUCAUUAGUAGUUUGGGAGAAAGGAAUUCUUGCAUUACUCAUAUUCGCCGGAGCUGUAAUAGGGUUAGUCAUGCCUUGGCAAAUUUUGGCAGGGGUGGUGCCACCAUAGUGGCAGGGGUGGGCCUGGGAGUCGCCGGAUCAGCCCAGGAGUGGCUGGUCCUAGUCUCCUGCCAUGGUUGGCGUCUUGCCAUGUUCGGGCCUCCACGCAUGUGGGUGGCACGAUGCGGCGUCGCUGAUCUUUGUCUGAUUCUCAAGGCAUUGAUAGAGGUGGAUGAAGUCAUGGCGGCUGUGAUUGGAGGUCUUGAAGCUUUGGUGGAAUGA